rnacentral:lncRNA from 1 species
UGCCUGCACUAUGUUGAAAAACUCAGACUGCACUCGUAUUAGCUGAUUUUUCGAGUUUUUGCUGCAGAUGACAUAGACCACAUAACACCAUAAUAUGAUACUGUAUAUUCAGAAACUUUUAUCUGCAAUCUAUUAGGACUUAUUAAGAAUGGACAAAAAUGCAAGAUUAUUUACUGCAAUUUCGAGAAAGCUGCAUACAAAUAUAUGUAUUAUAUUAAAUAUCAAAAUGCGAG